rnacentral:rRNA from 1 species
ACGCUCGACACCUACGGGAGGCAGCAGUCGGGAAUAUUGCGCAAUGGAGGGAACUCUGACGCAGUGACGCCGCGUAUAGGAAGAAGGUUUUCGGAUUGUAAACUAUUUUAGACAGGGAAGAAUAAAGACAGUACCUGUAGAAUAAGCUCCGGCUAACUACGUACCAGCAGUCGCGGUAAUCUGAGCGGGCUGGCAAGGC